UACAGAGGAGCCAAGCGUUGUCCGGAUUUAUUGGGCGUAAAGAGCUCGUAGGCGGUUCGGUAAGUCGGGUGUGAAACCUCCAGGCUCAACCUGGAGACGCCACCCGAUACUGCUGUGACUAGAGUCCGGUAGGGGAGCGUGGAAUUCCUGGUGUAGCGGUGAAAUGCGCAGAUAUCAGGAGGAACACCAGCGGCGAAGGCGGCGCUCUGGGCCGGAACUGACGCUGAGGAGCGAAAGCGUGGGGAGCAAACAGG
rnacentral:rRNA from 1 species